rnacentral:rRNA from 1 species
UACGAAGGGGGCUAGCGUUGUUCGGAAUUACUGGGCGAAAGCGCGCGCAGGUGGUCUUUCAAGUCAGUGGUGAAAGCCCGGAGCUCAACUCCGGAAAUGCCAUUGAAACUGUAAGACUUGAGGAUGAGAGAGGUGAGUGGAAUUCCCAGUGUAGAGGUGAAAUUCGUAGAUAUUGGGAAGAACACCGGUGGCGAAGGCGGCUCACUGGCUCAUAUCUGACGCUCAGGCGCGACAGCGUGGGGAUCUAAACAGG